rnacentral:rRNA from 1 species
AAUACCGCAUAAGACCGCGGUACCGCAUGGUACAGCGGUAAAAACUCCGGUGGUAUGAGAUGGGCCCGCGUCUGAUUAGCUAGUUGGCGGGGUAACGGCCCACCAAGGCGACGAUCAGUAGCCGACCUGAGAGGGUGACCGGCCACAUUGGGACUGAGACACGGCCCAAACUCCUACGGGAGGCAGCAGUGGGGAAUAUUGCACAAUGGGGGAAACCCUGAUGCAGCGACGCCGCGUGAGCGAUGAAGUAUUUCGGUAUGUAAAGCUCUAUCAGCAGGGAAGAAAAUGACGGUACCUGACUAAGAAGCCCCGGCUAACUACGUGCCAGCAGCCGCGGUAAUACGUAGGGGGCAAGCGUUAUCCGGAUUUACUGGGUGUAAAGGGAGCGUAGACGGCAACGCAAGCCAGAUGUGAAAGCCCGGGGCUCAACCCCGGGACUGCAUUUGGAACUGUGUAGCUGGAGUGUCGGAGAGGCAGGCGGAAUUCCUAGUGUAGCGGUGAAAUGCGUAGAUAUUAGGAGGAACACCAGUGGCGAAGGCGGCCUGCUGGACGAUGACUGACGUUGAGGCUCGAAAGCGUGGGGAGCAAACAGGAUUAGAUACCCUGGUAGUCCACGCCGUAAACGAUGACUACUAGGUGUCGGGCAGCAAAGCUGUUCGGUGCCGCAGC